UUACGGUCAUAUCACGUUGAAACACCAGUUCCCGUACGAUCACCGAAGUUAAGCAAAGUCGAUCUUGGUUAGUUGCUAGAUGGGUGACCGCCUGGGAAUACCAGCUGCUGU